AGUGAACGCUGGCGGUAGGCCUAACACAUGCAAGUCGAACGGAAGCACAGUAAGAGCUUGCUCUUACGGGUGGCGAGUGGCGGGCGGGUGAGGCAUACAUCGGAAUCUACUUUUUCGUGGGGGAUAACGUGGGGAAACAUGCGCUAACACCGCAUACGACCUACGGGUGAAAGCAGGAGAUCUACGGACCUUGCGCGAUUGAAUGAGCCGAUGUCGGAUUAGCUAGUUGGCGGGGUAAAGGCAUACCAAGGCGACGAUGCGUAGCUGGUCUGAGAGGAUGAUCAGCCACACUGGAACUGAGACACGGUCCAGACUCCUACGGGAGGCAGCAGUGGGGAAUAUUGGGCAAUGGGCGAAAGCCUGACGCAGCAAUGCCGCGUGAGUGAAGAAGGUCUUCGGAUUGUAAAGCUCUGUUAUUAGGGAAGAACAGCAGUGUAAGAAAACACGGCCGUCUUGACGGUACCCAAUGAGAAAGCACCGGCUAACUACGUG
rnacentral:rRNA from 1 species